rnacentral:misc_RNA from 1 species
AUUUUUAUUGGAAAGCAGACAAUUGGUGAAAUUUAACGAAAUUAUUUGAAUAUCUAGCGUUUAUUUGUUAACAAAUUUUUCGAUAUCAAAAGCAAAAACAAGUCACCAGCAUUUGUUGAUGGGAUUUCGGUAUCAGGAACUAAAAGACAGGGGGGACAGCAUAGAACUUGAGCACAAGGAAAGCUAUACAACCGAGCGCAGUCACAACGGUUACAUUAAACGACAUAAGACCGUAUUACGCGAACGAUUUCCACACCCGAAUGCCAAGGAAGCGCACAAGCAGCAGAAACAACACACAAAGCGCAGCGCCUACACAACAACACUUAGACCAGAAACAGCAUCGGAGCGAAACACCACCACCGAAACAUUGGGCAAUUCGCCGGAGAGUGGCGCCUUGCUGACCACUUGCCGCGACAAAUCGCACCUGGAACGCGCAGUCAAUCGCACUUCGGUGCAGUUGAAGCGUCUGGCACAUGAAAUUGAUAAUGAAAUUGCCAAAUUGAAACGGGAAAGGGACAAACUAAUGUUCAGAUCGCGUGCGCACCCUUUGAUGCGCAACGCUGCCAUACAAAACGAUCUGCACACGAAAAUCGAAUCGUUGGACAAGCUAAAGGAUUUCGAUACACAGUUUGCCAAUAAUAUCGAGUUUACGAUUGAAAAAUUCUCGAGUCAGCAUAAGUUCGUUUGCACUUCACCCCGUUACGCGCGCGACGAACAAACUUCGUGUCGGCCGCGCAUGCGCACAAUUGGUCUGCAGAAAGAUACGCAGCGAGGCGGUGUUGAGGAUAAUUUGCAAAACCUUAAGGCCAAACUCAACGCUGCCAUACAUUAUUCGGCCACCAAUCUGGCGGCUUUAAAGACGAAAGGGUUGCUCGACACCACACCGCCCAACUGCUAUGCUUUUGAUUAUGGCGGCACGGGCGAUGGUCAGAACGCUGUGAAUGUUUAUCACUUGCAGAAUUGUCGUUGCGUUGGCGGUUGCAAUCCGAAUGACUGCAAUUGCACGAAGACCUGUGAGCGCUAUAAUACCGUUGGUAAUUACAAUGGCAUGUUAUGUAAUAAAAACACGUAUGUGGAGAAGGCACUUACGCCGUGUAAAGAGUAUAAAUACUGUCGUGAUGAAUAUCAUUAUAAUUAUCCGUCGCAGAAUAAAUGUGUAGUGCCGGCGACGAACCAAUCAUGUGUGCCAUGUUCGCCUUGUGUGCCAUGCUAUCAGCCCUGCCAGCCGUGUCAGCCUUGUCAGCCAUGCACACCCUGUUUACCGCCUUGUCCAACCUACAGUGAGUGUCAACCAGCCAAGCCGCAGGCAAAAGUUAUCUAUGGCAGGCGUGUGAGUGACUUAAAUACAGAAGAUUUCUAUCAUCCCACCGCCUCGCCCACCACGAAAUCAUUUAAACAUGGCAGUCCAAGGCACUCCAAGAAUAAGGAGCGUUUGACGGUCGAUGUACCGAAGGAUGGACGCACACUUGUUGAUAUUGAAAGAAGUGGUGAUCGCUCGCGUAGCAAAACGCGUCGAAAAAACGAGAGCGAAGACAAGGCACGGCAGCGCAAUUCGAAAGCUUAUGACGUCUCUGCGCGUAAAGCGAAUGAGAAGCAUCCGGUGCGCGAGCGUAAGCCACGUCAGCGGAGUGAAUCGUCGGGUAGUGUCGACUCAUCGGAGAAGGCACAUCAAAUGAAGAGCAAGGAAAAACUGCUGGAAAUAACUUUUACAAAGGAGCGACGUCACAAGCCCUCGUCUGAGUCAGAUGAAUGUAUUACGUACGAGCUGCCAAAAGCAAGUCGAGAGUAUUCACGUGAGACAAAACGCUCUCUGAAACAGAUGACGAUUACAGCCUAUAAACCCUGUAAGCCGGGCGAAAGUGAAGGCAAAUUUGAUUUAGAUCGAAAGAAGAAGCAAAAGAGCAAAGCACAAAGUGCUGAUGACGAUAAAACGUGGGAUGAACGGUUAAGACAAAUGGAAUAUCCACCUGAACCAGAUGAAUGGCACGCUGGUAUUCCCACUAUAACAGAAGUUCUCGAUGAUUACCGCAUUGGUGAUACCUAUGCUAGCGAUGUACCUAAAAUGGUACAGGAACCCACUGAAACUCAAUAUAGGACAGGCUAUGGGGAGUUUUUUCAGGUAUCACCGCAGCGAAGUUAUGACAUAAUGCCGGUACAAAAAAAUACAGUGCGAGAUCUGCCGCCAUCUCAAAGUCCCGAACGUGGACGACGCAUACAACGAGAAAGCCCGAGGAGGCCUGGUGAGAAACCAGUUGGAUCGUAUGAAAGAGAACGAACUGUUAGCGGCACUGGACGAGAUGAACAACCCAGACUUGGGCCCGACGGCAGACAACGGGAAUCGUAUGAAAAAGAUAGAUCGGAAGUAUUAAGAGCAUAUGGACUUGAAGAGAAACCCAGAAUAGAGAAGGGCUACAGAUCUAUUGGAAAACAAGAUACUGAGAGGAGCUAUGGUCGAGUUACUGAUGAGCGGUGGUCUCCAAGCGAACAGAAACCCAGAUUAGAUAAAGGCUACAGAUCAGUUGAUAAACAAGGUGCAGACAGGAGCUACGGUCGAACUUACGAUGAACGACGGUCUCCAAUCGAACAUAAACCCAGAUUAGAUGAAAGCUACAGAUCUAUUGGUAAACAAGGUGCAGACAGGAGCUACGGUCGAACUUACGAUGAACGACGGUCUCCAAUCGAACAGAAACCGAGAUUAGAUGAAGGCUACAGAUCUAUUGGAAAGCAAGGUGCUGAGAGAAGCCACGGUCGAACUUACGAUGAACAGCGUAUUCCAAGCGACUAUGUUCCAUCAAGACAAAAGGAGGACAGACGUGAACCAAACACUUUGUACGAUGGCACUUACGAACCUAAAUUCACUUCGAGUACACCUCGUUCCGCACGUGACUAUGAGCGAGGUAUUAAAUCAGAUGAAAGGUAUGAUCCUCGUGGUUCACCGCGUAAAGCUUAUGAUGAGCCCAGGUCUGCGCAAAUGCCGGGCAGAAUUUACACCCCAGAUGAAACACCACGUUCGGCACGCUAUGAAACUCAUAGUCCAACACCACAUAGUCCGACACGUAGGAUGGAGGACCCUCAUACCUAUACUCCAGACGCGAAACCUCGUUUCGCUCGUGGAUUGAAAUCGGACGAUAACAUAGAAUUUGAAGGAUUUUCACCAUCCCACUCCCGCGAUGAGUAUGGAAAACCAGAAGGAAAAAGGUCUCCAAAAGACCAUAUUAGUGAAACUGACCAGAGAGUGGAGACGGAUCCCGGACAAAUAAGUGAAAGAAAAGUUAGGAAGGAAGAAGAUUUCAAACAGGAAGAAGUUGAUUUAAUGAGGACCGAUCAACUUGGAGAUAUAGACUUAUCUAAAAAACCGGAAAUUUCGGCCAAAGAUAUGAAAUAUAAAGCGGAUACACAAAAGGCAGGCACAUAUAUAGAUGGUUAUAGUCCUAAGGCAGACAUUAAGGCUGAGAGUCCAGAUACUACUAAAAGAGCUGAGAGCCCUACAGCUGGCACUCCACGUGCGGGAAGGCAGCCUGAUACCGAUAGAGGACGUACAGGCAGCGAAGAUAUAUUUGAAAAUGUACCGCCAGUUCCAGAAAUUACAAUUGAGGAUACAGACGAAAGCGGUAGGAGUGCACCUAGUGGAAGAGGGAAAAGCCCCGUAAUUAGUUUACGUGACCAGGCUAAAUCAGCCAUUAAAGGUGAAAUGUCGCAGGAACCAGAACAAUUAAGAUCCCCAAAAUAUAAGGAUCGGGACAAACUGCGACAGUUGGAUAGCCGUAGUCAGCCAGAACAAAUAAGAAGUAGUCCGGUUAGACAACCGGGCAUCCACGAUGGUGCUGUAAUAGGUGGAGGCUUUACUAGAUCGGACACAGCUGGCGUCAUGGGUGGGUCUGCAAGUCCACUAAGUCCUUUUCCUAGUCUUGAAACGCCAAAAAUUUAUAUGAAACCUCGAGCAUUAUGCACUGAUUACGGUACCGCGUGUUUUCCUUCAACUGAAGACGAUUGCACUAGACGUACUAGUCUACGUGCCAACUGCGUUGCGAACGCGGGAGAUGCUUAUAUGUGCAAGUCAUGCACUACACAGUCAACUUCACCGUCAGCGUCUCCACGCCAAUGUUUAUGUCCAGCAGAAAAUAGAGGUGAAAUUCCUUAUGAGAAGCUAGGCGAUCAAUACGAACAUUCGCCGGUACGUCAAUUAGCAGCUAACUCUCAUAUGGCUGUAGCACUGCAGUCCGACGCCGCAGUUACCAAUUAUAAGCCAUUAUCGCAACAAAGUUUAUCGAAGAGCUGCAUAACUUUGCGCUCGACCGGAACACAGUACUCGGCAACGAUUAUCGAGCAAAAGGAAGAUCGCUGUGCACCACAGUACGUACCGCUGCCGAAAGAAUGCAGUGAAAAAUAUGCAGAUCAAGCGAAGAGCUCUGCAGCGCCAUCUACAUGUACAUGCGACUCCCCACGUCAGAGUCAAAAAUCGCCGCAUUCAACUUCGGAUAGUAUCAAAAAAAAGUACCAGUUUCUAUGUGAGGAAAACAAUGAGGAGCAAAAUGGAAAGGUACAACUAAAGAGCAAUGAAGAGUGGUGUGGUAGAGUGGAAAUAAACUCGGAGAAGAGACACAUUUUCAUUGCGCAACAUAAACAAAAACCACCAACUCAAUGCGUAGAUGAGCAGAACUAUUUGUUACCAUGGCAACAGGAUGAAAAAUUUAUACCGGGCCAACCAAUAAGUAGUUGCAAUAUGACACCUUGGCAAAAUGGGCCAAUGAAGUUCUUGCAAACGGUACAAAAAAGUCCGCGCUUUCAAAACUACGCGGAACGUAGAACGCCAAGGUUUAAUGCCACUAUGCCGCCGCAUCAAGAAAUGCCGGAAGAGGAAGAUAGAUGUGCAGAAGAACUAUCACAGUACAAGCCGCAGACGCGUGUGCAAUUUAUGGAGCAAUACAGCAACUGUGACCCGGCCUGCUAUGCCCAGGAUGGAGCAGCGAAUUUACAAAGUGAAACUGCGGAGCCUAUGCGCGACUGCACGCCAAGAGGACGCCUAAGCUUCGCUUAUGGCGGCGAAUACCAGCAGAUACCGGAAUUCACUGGCUGUCCUUGUAUGUUCAAAACUUAUCUAAAUAUGGUGACACUCUACUAUCCCGAUUUUCGCGUACAACUGCGGGAGGAUUGCGUCGAAAUUGAGGACGAUGAUGAUGAUGAGUGCAAUGAAUGAUGAUGAAAUGUUAUAAUUUUGAUUGGGUCGAAGUUUCAAAUAUUUGAAGUAUGUGCACCGCUAAUUUAUUUUGCUCAGUUUUUGUGCUGGUUCACACUUUAUUAUUUUUUUUGUUUGUACUAAAAACAAAGACGAAAACAAAAAAACAAAGAAAAACGCAAGACAUUUUAUAAAAAUUAUUUAAGAGUAAAAACGGAACAAAAGUUA